AUAAGGUUAUUCAUGCAUUGCAGCCAAGUGUUAGAAGACACAUGUUGAAGCGAUGAAACAACCAACGCAUUAUUUAAUGUGAAGUUUUUCGUGUCUAAGUUGUAUGAAGAAAAUGAUGACGAGAGAAAAAGUUGCUAAAUCGAAAUAAAUGGAACUCAUCUAUUUCCUUGUGGCUUAAACACUUUGGAGCCAUCGGAAAAGAAGAAUGGUAGAAAACCUUGACGGAACAUAUGCAUUUUGGAUGAAUAUAAUUCAAUGACGCAUGUAAGAAUAGCGAAAAAGACAACGAGACAACGAUUUUGUUAAAUAUGCAAUCAGCACGAAAUACGUUGCAUUGUUUACUAGUGAAAAAAUUAAAGUACAUUCACUCGUACAUUUAGAAGAAAAAAAAAUUAAUCCUGUGACAACAAAGCUCGUACAAAGAAUAUUUGAUCAAACGAGUAAUUUCUUCAGAAUAACAGACGCUAAGAGAAAAACUACCAUUCCCUGCUCCAGACGAUUAAAGGGACGGUAAUUUAGUAACGUAGAAAAUUUACAUGUUUAUGAAUGGAUAAUGGGAAAAUCCGUAGGAACACAUGUGUUUGCAGCAAAUAGCGACACUGCUAAUCUAACGACAGUCGCUUGGAACGACGACCAUGGUUUGUCAUCAGUAACACCACCGCCAUUCGAGGAGCUUUUCCAGAACUAUCCGACUGGACUGCUAUAUUUCGCAACAGCUGCGUGCAUCGUUUUCAUUUUGGUGGGGAUACCGGGCAAUUUAAUUACUAUUGUCGCGUUGGCUCGUUGUAAAAAAGU